UCUAUCUAGCGGUAACCAUGGCUUCAGCUCAGCCAUACAUGUUCAAACCAGAGUCUGAUCCCGAAACAGAACCCGAACCAGCUUCACAACUUAGACUGGAGCAAGAUGUUUCAGAGUGGUUGUUACACAAAUGCAACAGGUUCCUGUCCCACCUACCUGCAUGGUUUACCAUCCAGACUUGGAGCCAACCUGUUUGAACCACUACACCCUGCGGAACAUCUACACUAUAUACAAAGCAGACUAUGGACCUUUGAGGUGUCGAACAGAAAAAGAGCGCUACAGGCACCUUGCCUAUCUUGGCUUUGUCAACUGGUGCUGGGGCUACUUGGGAAGGACUGUUAGGGUGGUAAUCCCGUCGUGUGUUGUACGCCGGAUACGCCUGCAGUUUCUUGAUCCGGGUGCAUAGUAUGUGCGGUUCCGACUGUCCCUUGAACAAAGCGGGACAGAUGGCGGGCAACCACUUCCUCCUUUGAGGGUCUCUCAUGUUCCGAU